rnacentral:rRNA from 1 species
GACGUAGGGCGCGAGCGUUGUCCGGAUUUAUUGGGCGUAAAGAGCUCGUAGGCGGUUUGUCGCGUCGUCCGUGAAAACUCACAGCUUAACUGUGAGCUUGCGGUCGAUACGGGCAGGCUAGAGUUCGGUAGGGGAGACUGGAAUUCCUGGUGUAGCGGUGAAAUGCGCAGAUAUCAGGAAGAACACCCGUGGCUAAGGCGGCUCUCUAGUACGGUACUGACGCUGAGACGCGAAAGCGUGGGGAGCGAACAGG